AACGCGAAGAACCUUACCUGGCCUUGACAUCCACGGAACUUUCCAGAGAUGGAUUGGUGCCUUCGGGAACCGUGAGACAGGUGCUGCAUGGCUGUCGUCAGCUCGUGUUGUGAAAUGUUGGGUUAAGUCCCGCAACGAGCGCAACCCUUUUCCUUAUUUGCCAGCGAGUAAUGUCGUGAACUUUAAGGAUACUGCCAGUGACAAACUGGAGGAAGGCGGGGACGACGUCAAGUCAUCAUGGCCCUUACGGCCAGGGCUACACACGUGCUACAAUGGUCGGUACAAAGGGUUGCUACCUAGCGAUAGGAUGCUAAUCUCAAAAAGCCGAUCGUAGUCCGGAUUGGAGUCUGCAACUCGACUCCAUGAAGUCGGAAUCGCUAGUAAUCGCGGAUCAGAAUGCCGCGGUGAAUACGUUCCCGGGCCUUGUACACACCG
rnacentral:rRNA from 1 species